UACGUAGGGUGCGAGCGUUAAUCGGAAUUACUGGGCGUAAAGCGUGCGCAGGCGGUUUCGUAAGACAGAUGUGAAAUCCCCGGGCUUAACCUGGGAACUGCGUUUGUGACUGCGAGACUCGAGUGUGGCAGAGGGGGGUGGAAUUCCACGUGUAGCAGUGAAAUGCGUAGAGAUGUGGGGGAACACCGAUGGCGAAGGCAGCCCCCUGGGUUAACACUGACGCUCAUGCAAGAAAGCGUGGGUAGCAAACAGG
rnacentral:rRNA from 1 species